UGAGCGGCGGCCAGGCUGCCGGAGGCGGUGUGGCCUCUUCAGGCCCUCACUGGUCCUGAUUUUGAGGGGUGACUCAUGCCGGCUUGGACAUCCACUUCUGGCUCAAGUUGCUCUGGGUUCCUCCACACAGACCAGAGGGAUUCCUGCGUCACAGGAAUCCAGGAAGGGGUGGGGGGAGUUGCAGGUUGAGAAGACAGAGGUGAGUGGCCCCCGGGCCCCUCCCCUGUUGAGUCACGGGAAGGGAAUGGAAAUAGUGUGUGCUGAAGCUGAGUCAGGGCCCAGCCUCACCUUCUCGGGACCUCAUAUGGGCUCUGAGGCGAGAGGCCCACCUGUCCCCCCCUCCUUGCUGCCUCCUCUCCCAAGCAUGAGGAGGGCGAGCAGGAAGGAUUUAGGUUAGCUCUCAAGAAGGACUUCCUGAAUCGCGCCAGGCGACACUGAGAGGCAUCUCUCAAAGGAAGUUGUGAAAUCUUCCUUGGGAUCAAUUUGAGGUUUGGUCUGGGUCCAACCAGGUCUAUCUUUAUGGCUCUAGAAUAUUUUCAAGUGUUAGACAUUCCUUCCUCGACAUGACUCAGGGGGCAUCCGAUGUGUGCCAGGCCUGGUGGCAGGAGCAGGGCCAGCUGAGUGUGGGACAUGCCCCACUCUGGGGGUCUUCUCUAGGUCAGCAUUACAGCAGCCUUGGAGAAGACGGCUCCCACCCCUUCCGUCCUCCCCUCUCCUGGCUCCCUUGGGCAGCCUGCUCUGCCAGCCACACCACACUCCACUUUCGGAUUCCGGAAGGAAACUAUGGGUAAUAAAUAGGACAAAGGGUCAAUUUCCUUCCUGUGCAAAUCCCAGUAGCAUUUGCAGAGUGCCAAGCAUGGGAGGGCGCCCUCCUAAGUGCUUUACCUGCCUUCACUCCACCACAGCCCUGUGAGGAAGGUGCUCCCCUUUCACAGAGAAGGAAACUGAGGCUCAGUGAGGUGAGCAGCCUGGCUACAGUGGCACUGCCAGUGAGCAGCUGACCCAGCCUGUGACCUGGGCUGUGGCGCAGCAAACAGCCAGCAAGCACUGGGUGCUUUUCCUGUGCUGGGCCAGCACUUUGCAGGCAUCGACUCAAUUGAACCCUCACAACCACCACACAUUGAGUCUUCCAGAAAAGACUGGUCAGAGGUGCAGCACAGAUGAACCUACAAAGCUUUUCAUCAAAGCAUCACUUACAAUGGUGAAAAGGCAGAAGAAUCACUGAAUUCCACCAAGAGUGUCAUUCUCUUGCCCAGGCUGGAGUGCAGCGGUGCGAUCUCAGCUCACAGCAACUUCCAUCUCCUGGAUGCAAAUGAUUCUCCUGCCUCAGCCUCCCAGG
rnacentral:lncRNA from 1 species